AUGAUUAUUGUACAAAUUGACAAGAUCACCGGCUCACCGAUGGAGAAAAAAAACAUAUACUAUUUCAGAGAAAAUAAAUCCGGACAAAUUGAACUUUCAUCGGCGCAAACAAUCACUGGGCAUGCAUGUUCCAUCCAUCCAUCCAUGGUCCUCGGUCCAACACUGAAUCUAUCUAUCUCGCGGUUUCGCCGCCAGAGAAGCACCCACAACAGCUGGCGAAGAAGCCCGAUUCCUUAG
rnacentral:lncRNA from 1 species